GGGGCUGACUGGAUUUGACUGCAAGUUGAGUUGAUUAGUAAGCAUGUCGAGCUUUGUAUUUUGGCUCGUAAAAAUUAAGAUUCAAUUUUUUAAUUGGCGAAAAUAAUUACGCUUUAGCUGCCUAAUUGAUAAAUUAGAAUAGCUUUUGUCUCUUUUAAAGGAAUUCCUGAAACCUUUAAUCUUGAGGCAUCAUUAACAUCAGGAUAGUUUGUUUAAUGCUUCAGUAAACAAAUAAAAAUUUAGAAGAUAAGGAUAAGAAUUGGAUGCUAUUUACCAGACUUAUUUCGAAAAUUAAUAGUAGAUAAGCAUGUAGAAAAUUAUUUAACACCUUGUUAGGACGUGGGUUCGAAACCCACCAGCUCCACCA
rnacentral:tmRNA from 1 species